AUGAAAAUCGGACUUAGGGAUCCGGUGGUUCUGCGUGGAAGGGCCAUCGCUCAACGGAUAAAAGCUACCCUGGGGAUAACAGGCUUAUCUCCCCCAAGAGUCCACAUCGACGGGGAGGUUUGGCACCUCGAUGUCGGCUCAUCACAUCCUGGGGCUGUAGUAGGUCCCAAGGGUUGGGCUGUUCGCCCAUUAAAGUGGUACGCGAGCUGGGUUCAGAACGUCGUGA
rnacentral:rRNA from 1 species